CUUGGCGACGACUGGGCGGCAUGUGCCUAGGUCUUCUUGGGACCCUUCGCCGGCGACAAGCACCACCAGGUUCAGUCAUGAGUGGGCUUCUCAUGAGCUUCCCUAAGUGAUGCUUCAUAUGUUUUCUAACAUGCAACAUCUCCCGAUGUUAUCCAUGUACUGGAUAUAUCCUUAGAAGUCAGAGAUGCAGAAGUCUGAUCAUCAUGAGCAGAAGCUAACUUCACCAAGAGGAAACAAGCAACUCAUCAAUAUUCUCAAAGCAAAAGGAUGUUGAUG